CGAGGAGCAGCGCAAAGUUGUCUCGGCCGUGCCCUGCAUCGAGGAGGAACACAUGUAUUUACAAAUCGAGGAGGAAAACAUGUAGUUUUCUAUAUUUUUCUGUUUGUUAUUUUGUAACUUUAUGCUUCACCUGCCCUAAAUUAUACGUAUACUCAUGUUGUCAGAUACAUAGGUAUACAGAUACAUAGCUAUGGAAGAUACAAUUUACGGAUACAUAUCUGAAUGUUAUAGCUAUAAAAAUACCUGAUUGUUAUAGCUGAAUGUAACAAAGAAAGUGGUAUGGAUGAAUGGUGUCGUUUCUUUACCCAUGCUGUGGUUGAAAUCGUUGUUUGGUUCCCAGGUUGAACAAAUCCGACAUCUGUAAAUCAUCGAUGUUUUUCUGGAAGUAGUACAAUAGGUUUCAGAUUGGGCGAUGAUUCGUUCAUUCGACUACUUAUAAUUUGGGUUUCUACAGUUUCAAGAGGCUAACAUUUCCACCUUGGGUGUCUUAUCUCUAAGAUUCUAACUACCAAAUAACAUUGCUUUGAAGUGUAGAUGUUCCGGGAUUGCUAGCUCCUGCCAGGAUGGAGAGGAGAAGACUGAAAACGAUGUUGAUAUGAGGAAUUCAAGGAAGUGGAAGAGGAAGAAAGUUCUGAUGAUGGUGAUAAUUAGAAUAUCAAGUUUGACGACGAUGAUGAUUGGAACCAAGAGGAGGAAGUACUUGCCGCUAAAACCCACCAAAGAAUUAGCAAGAAAAUUGAUGGUGGGAGCUAGCAAUGCUGGCAGUGCCUCCUUUAGGAU